CCAGGGGGCGGUGUGCGCCCCCGGCGCUGGAGCAGCCGCGUUUCGGGGACCCGGGCAGGCGUGGGGGGCUGCGCUGAGCUCCAGGCCUCCUGCAGGUGCAAUAAGAAUCGUAUUACUAAUGUGGUGUCCUCUGGAAUGGUCACAUGAACACAGUUCCCUGCAGAUGUAAUUGGGAGAGAAGGCACAGUCCUGACACAGGGUAAGACUGUGGAGGUGUAUUGCUGUCCCUACCAGGUUUCUCCUUCUCGUCUUCCAAAGCUGUGCCUUAACUUCCUCGAAAGACAACAUCAGUGCUGGCGGGCCUCAAGAAGAGCCAUCCCAAGGUAUUGACUAGGCAUCAGCGUCUUCACCAGGGCAACACAGAACAUCCCUGCAGAGUUCCUGGUGGCUGCAGUGGCUGGUAGGGGAUGUAUGCCUGCUUUCCAUCAGAUUCCCAAAGCGGAGCCCCUGGAGGCUUUGGCCCAUGGCCCUGAAGCUCCCUUUCACAAGGAAGAAAGACUUUGCAAAGCCAACACCACUAUUGGAGAGAAAGUGGAGAAUGUGUAUUAGAAGUACUAGUCUUUGAAGGCAAAACAGCUGUAUAGAGUGAGCUUAAGUGCUGGAUCCCUGUGGUUAGGAAGGGACACUAAGCCUCCGGGAUGUGAGAGUCCCAUGGAAGGCAGUAGGCCCAGGAUAAAGCAGGUGUCAGCUCAGAAAGCCCACCAUCACCCAGAAAAGGGAAGAAAUACGCUACCACCAUCACUCUUUCUGCCAAUGACUUCUUUGCACACCUCCACCCUAUCUCCUGGCUCAGUCUCCCAUGUUCUCAUAGCUAGGGAGGUCUCCAUUGUAAUUUGUAUGGGGAGGUUAACCUAUAGGCCAUUCUGAUGAUCCCAGCUCCCUUUCACUACAACCCCCGUCUGCAUCCUUUGCUUUGCAGUAGGAUUUGAGAGAGGAAGGAUGAAGAUGUAGCCACAGGAUACAUUUAAACAGGCACAGAGUUUGAGGGGUGGGGGGGAACAAAAGCAAAACAAUAAAACCUUCACCAGUCAUUAAAGAAAUGAAAAUGAACCUUU
rnacentral:lncRNA from 1 species